ACCCUACGGGGGGCAGCAGUAGGGAAUCUUCCACAAUGGGCGAAAGCCUGAUGGAGCAACGCCGCGUGGGUGAAGAAGGUCUUCGGAUCGUAAAACCCUGUUGGUAGAGAAGAAAGUGCGUGAGAGUAACUGUUCACGUUUCGACGGUAUCUAACCAGAAAGCCACGGCUAACUACGUGCCAGCAGCCGCGGUAAUACGUAGGUGGCAAGCGUUAUCCGGAUUUAUUGGGCCUAAAGGGAACGCAGGCGGUCUUUUAAGUCUGAUGUGAAAGCCUUCGGCUCAACCGGAGUAGUGCAUUGGAAAC
rnacentral:rRNA from 1 species